GAUGAACGCUGGCGGCGUGCCUAAUACAUGCAAGUCGAGCGAACAGACGAGGAGCUUGCUCCUCUGACGUUAGCGGCUGACGGGUGAGUAACACGUGGAUAACCUACCUAUAAGACUGGGAUAACUUCGGGAAACCGGAUCUAAUACCGGAUAAUAUAUUGAACCGCAUGGUUCAAUAGUGAAAGACGGUUUUGCUGUCACUUAUAGAUGGAUCCGCGCCGCAUUAGCUAGUUGGUAAGGUAACGGCUUACCAAGGCAACGAUGCGUAGCCGACCUGAGAGGGUGAUCGGCCACACUGGAACUGAGACACGGUCCAGACUCCUACGGGAGGCAGCAGUAGGGAAUCUUCCGCAAUGGGCGCAAGCCUGACGGAGCAACGCCGCGUGAGUGAUGAAGGUCUUCGGAUCGUAAAACUCUGUUAUUAGGGAAGAACAAAUGUGUAAGUAACUAUGCACGUCUUGACGGUACCUAAUCAGAAAGCCACGGCUAACUACGUG
rnacentral:rRNA from 1 species